rnacentral:rRNA from 1 species
AAAGGAAUUGACGGGGGCCCGCACAAGCGGUGGAGCAUGUGGUUUAAUUCGACGCAACGCGAAGAACCUUACCAGGGCUUGACAUCCUCAGGAUCCUGUGGAAACAUGGGAGUGCCCUUUUGGGAGCUGAGAGACAGGUGGUGCAUGGUUGUCGUCAGCUCGUGUCGUGAGAUGUUGGGUUAAGUCCCGCAACGAGCGCAACCCCUAUAUUCAGUUGCCAGCACGUAAAGGUGGGAACUCUGGAUAGACUGCCGGUGAUAAACCGGAGGAAGGUGGGGAUGACGUCAAAUCAUCAUGCCCCUUAUGUUCUGGGCUACACACGUGCUACAAUGGCCGGUACAGACGGAGGCGAAGCCGCGAGGUGGAGCAAAUCCGAGAAAGCCGGUCCCAGUUCGGAUUGUUCUCUGCAACUCGAGAGCAUGAAGUCGGAAUCGCUAGUAAUCGCAGGUCAGCAUACUGCGGUGAAUACGUUCCCGGGCCUUGUACACACCGCCCGU